ensembl:lncRNA
CAGCUUGUAAAUGUUGAUACAAGGCAAAAUGGAUUUGUACUUUCACGUUGUUUUCACCAACUUCUGAUCCUACCAUCUGAAUAUUGCAAAUCGAGACUCAUCAGACCAGGCCAGUUUGAUCUUCACGAGCUAGUGGGAGGUUCUGGAUAAAGUGUGUGUCGCUAUCCACUGCAUGCACUAACUGCUGACUGCACCUUGGUGUGUGCGCUCAAAACCAUGCAUGUGUUCCUGUGUGCCAGACGUUAUGGCUGCACAGACCCGCUCUGCAGCCACCAUUGUUGUUUACAGCUCUGUUACGCCCGUCGAUUGAUCCGCAAACAGAUGUAUCUCUGACUGUGAUUCACCAAAGCUGAUUAAGUCACAAGUGUUUUGUGUGGGUUCACCAGCAUCUUGGUUUCAGAGCUGUGUUUUAUUUCUAUAAUUAUUUCCUGUACCUGUUGAAUAUUGAUGAAUUAAACAUAAGUCACAUUUCAGACUGUGAAAUACACCAAGGUCUUAAUACUAUGAAUCUG